rnacentral:rRNA from 1 species
AGAGUUUGAUCCUGGCUCAGGAUGAACGCUAGCGGCAGGCUUAACACAUGCAAGUCGAGGGGCAGCGGGGCGGAAGCUUGCUUCCGCCGCCGGCGACCGGCGCACGGGUGAGUAACACGUAUGCAACCUGCCCCCGUCAGGGGGACAACCCGGCGAAAGCCGGGCUAAUCCCCCGUACAUCCCCGGAGGGCAUCCUCCGGGGAGGAAAGGCUUCGGCCGGAUGGGGAUGGGCAUGCGGCGCAUUAGCUAGUUGGCGGGGUAACGGCCCACCAAGGCGACGAUGCGUAGGGGUUCUGAGAGGAAGGUCCCCCACACUGGUACUGAGACACGGACCAGACUCCUACGGGAGGCAGCAGUGAGGAAUAUUGGUCAAUGGUCGGGAGACUGAACCAGCCAAGCCGCGUGAGGGAUGAAGGUACUAAGUAUUGUAAACCUCUUUUGUCAGGGAACAAAGGCAUCCACGAGUGGGUGUGUGAGUGUACCUGAAGAAAAAGCAUCGGCUAACUCCGUGCCAGCAGCCGCGGUAAUACGGAGGAUGCGAGCGUUAUCCGGAUUUAUUGGGUUUAAAGGGUGCGUAGGCGGCCUGUUAAGUCAGCGGUAAAAGCCCGGGGCUCAACCCCGGCGAGCCGUUGAAACUGGCUGGCUGGAGUUGGCGAGAGGUAUGCGGAAUGCGCGGUGUAGCGGUGAAAUGCUUAGAUAUCGCGCAGAACUCCGAUUGCGAAGGCAGCAUGCCGGCGCCACACUGACGCUGAGGCACGAAAGCGUGGGGAUCAAACAGGAUUAGAUACCCUGGUAGUCCACGCAGUAAACGAUGAAUG